UACGUAGGCAGCAAGCGUUGUUCGGAAUUACUGGGCGUAAAGAGUACGUAGGUGGUUUGCCAAGUCCGAUGUGAAAUCUCCUGGCUUAACUGGGAGGGUGUGUUAGAUACUGGCAGGCUUGAGUGUGGGAGAGGAGAGCGGAAUUCCUGGUGUAGCGGUGGAAUGCGCAGAUAUCAGGAGGAACACCGGUGGCGAAGGCGGGUCUCUGGGCAGUAACUGACGCUGAGGAGCGAAAGCGUGGGGAGCGAACAGG
rnacentral:rRNA from 1 species